AAAGGUUGGGAGGGGGCUCGAGGCCAUCAGGCUCCAGGCCGCACUUGGCGCUGCCCCCUGGCGCCAGGGAAACAAAGUGACGGGGGUCUUGCUAGGUUGCCAAGGCUGGUCUUGAACUCCUGACUUCAAGCAGUCCUCCCACCUCAGCCUCCUAGGGUGUCCGGAUUACAGGCAUGAGCCACUGUGCCCGGCCCCCUAUCACGAUAUCCAUAAGAUGCCAGGAUGCCCAGGAACCGAGUUUGAAAGACAUUGUGCUGCUGAUCCCACCUCCUGACUUUACAGCUGCUGAAUUGCAGAAGACAAAUUGGUAGCUAACAGGAGGCUCCAUCCUGGAUCCUGCCCCUGUCCGUGAGAUUCAGCCUUGAUUAACUGUGUUCCCAUGCUGGUCGUGAGCAGGGCACCAUCCUAGGUCCUUCUUUAUACUCAUUUUCCAUCUCCAGCCAAAAUGGGUUGAACCGAGGAACAAGGACAUAAUCUGUAAAGAGCAAGUGCAAGUCUCUGCUCUGCCAUUACCAGCAUCAGGCUAAUCAAGCCCUUGGAAACUCAAUUUCUUCUCCUGUAAAAUGUGAAUAACUGUUACAGACCUGGAAAGGCUCUUGU
rnacentral:lncRNA from 1 species